UGGGGAAUAUUGGACAAUGGGCGAAAGCCUGAUCCAGCCAUGCCGCGUGUGUGAAGAAGGCCUUCGGGUUGUAAAGCACUUUAAGCGAGGAGGAAUGGCUCUGGGUUAAUACCCUUGAGCAGUGACGUUACUCGCAGAAUAAGCACCGGCUAACUCUGUGCCAGCAGCCGCGGUAAUACAGAGGGUGCAAGCGUUAAUCGGAAUUACUGGGCGUAAAGCGCGCGUAGGCGGUUACGUAAGUUGGAGGUGAAAUCCCCGAGCUCAACUUGGGAGUUGCCUUCAAAACUGCGUGGCUAGAGUGUGGGAGAGGAAGGUAGAAUUCCAGGUGUAGCGGUGAAAUGCGUAGAUAUCUGGAGGAAUACCGAUGGCGAAGGCAGCCUUCUGGCCUAACACUGACGCUGAGGUGCGAAAGCAUGGGGAGCAAACAGGAUUAGAUACCCUGGUAGUCCAUGCCGUAAACGAUGUCUACUAGCCGUUGGGGGACUUGAUCCUUUAGUGGCGCAGCUAACGCAUUAAGUAGACCGCCUGGGGAGUACGGUCGCAAGACUA
rnacentral:rRNA from 1 species